GGAAGCAUUAAGAUGGUCUGAUUGGUUU
rnacentral:sRNA from 1 species